rnacentral:rRNA from 1 species
GGUGAACGCUGGCGGUGCGCCUAAUACAUGCAAGUCGAACGAGAUCUUUGUGAAUUUAUUCAUAGGGUGACAGUGGCGGACGAGCGAGUAACACGUAAGAAUCUACCCCGUACUCAGGGAUAACUGCGCGAAAGCGUGGCUAAUACCGGAUGCCCUCUUUGGAGGAAAGUCCCGCUUGCGGGAUGGUAUGGGAGGAGCUUGCGGCCUAUCAGUUUGUUGGUGAGGUAAAAGCUUACCAAGGCUAUGACGGGUAGCUGAUGUGAGAGCAUGAUCAGUCGCGAUGGAACUGAGACACGGUCCAUACUCCUACGGGAGGCAGCAGUAAGGAAUCUUCCGCAAUGGGCGAAAGCCUGACGGAGCGACACCGCGUGGUGGAUGAAGCUUUUCGGAGUGUAAACACCUUUUCUGAGGGAAGAAGAUCUGACGGUACCUCAGGAAUAAGCCCCGGCUAAUUACGUGCCAGCCGCCGCCGUAACAC